rnacentral:rRNA from 1 species
CCCUUAGAUGUCCGGGGCUGCACGCGCGCUACACUGACUGGCUCAGCGUGUGCCUACCCUACGCCGGCAGGCGCGGGUAACCCGUUGAACCCCAUUCGUGAUGGGGAUCGGGGAUUGCAAUUAUUCCCCAUGAACGAGGAAUUCCCAGUAAGUGCGGGUCAUAAGCUUGCGUUGAUUAAGUCCCUGCCCUUUGUACACACCGCCCGUCGCUACUACCGAUUGGAUGGUUUAGUGAGAUCUCUGGAUUGACGCUGGCUAGGGGGCGACCCUUGGCCAGGCUGUCGAGAAACUGCUCAAACUUGAUCAUUUAGAGGAAGUAAAAGUCGUAACA